rnacentral:rRNA from 1 species
AGGUAGCAAUACCUCUGUCGGCGACCGGCGCACGGGUGAGUAACACGUAUGCAAUCCACCUGUAACAGGGGGAUAACCCGGAGAAAUCCGGACUAAUACCGCAUGAAGCAGGGGCCCCGCAUGGGGAUAUUUGCUAAAGAUUCAUCGCUGAUAGAUAGGCAUGCGUUCCAUUAGGCAGUUGGCGGGGUAACGGCCCACCAAGGCGAUGAUCAGUAGCCGGUCUGAGAGGAUGAACGGCCACAUUGGGACUGAGACACGGCCCAGACUCC